rnacentral:rRNA from 1 species
GAUGAACGCUGGCUACAGGCUUAACACAUGCAAGUCGAGGGGAAACGACGGGGAAGCUUGCUUCCCCGGGCGUCGACCGGCGCACGGGUGAGUAACGCGUAUCCAACCUGCCUCUGACUGAGGGAUAACCCGUCGAAAGUCGGCCUAAUACCCCAUGGUAUCGUCUGCGGGCAUCCAACGACGAUUAAAGAUUUCAUCGGUCAGGGAUGGGGAUGCGUCUGAUUAGCUUGUUGGCGGGGUAACGGCCCACCAAGGCUACGAUCAGUAGGGGUUCUGAGAGGAAGGUCCCCCACAUUGGAACUGAGACACGGUCCAAACUCCUACGGGAGGCAGCAGUGAGGAAUAUUGGUCAAUGGGCGAGAGCCUGAACCAGCCAAGUAGCGUGCAGGAAGACGGCCCUAUGGGUUGUAAACUGCUUUUAUGCGGGGAUAAAGUGAGGGACGUGUCCCUCAUUGCAGGUACCGCAUGAAUAAGGACCGGCUAAUUCCGUG